GCUCAGCGAACCAGGACAUGUUUUUGACUCCAGCGCAGUCCAGCCAGUCCAGCACAGUCGAUCCUGAUGCAGGGGAAGGAACCUCUGCAGCUGCAAAUGUGGCCAUGAGGGUUUCUCCAUCCACACCAACAGAAUGGACGAGCCAGAUAAAGAGAAGAAGGAAAAGGACUUGGGAUGACAUGUUCCAAGAGAGCCUGCAAGCCUCCUUUGCCUCCAAUAAAAGCACAGGGCUUAGAGGAUCACCUUUGCAGACAACAUGGAGAGGGAUAGAGUGGAGAGGAAAAAGCUGCAGGAAAAGGAGAGGGACGUGCAGCUGGAGAUGUUUGCACUUCUCAAGCAGCAAACAGACAUGUUGCAGACUCUGGUGGAUCUGCAGGUUCAACAAUCCUAUGCUUGCCUCUCUCUGCAGCCCAUAGAGAACUGCAUAUCGGGAACUCUCGGUGCCCCCUGCCCCUCAACAUUCUGUGUGGCAUUGGACUGCUGCACUGUCCUUACCAUUCCACCCCUGGGAACAUUAAAGACAUUCACAGCUGCACAUAUGCUGGCCUGGGAAAGACAUGGUUGGUGUAUGUGAAUUUGAAAUGGAAAUGACUGUUCUUUCCCCAUCAUAAGUUCUUUUUCCUUAAUUUAUUAAGUUAAAAAUGUUUUUUCUGUUUGUAUCACUGUGGAAUAAAUGUGUUUUUGGAAAUGUAA